AGGAAGUGUGGCGCCUCAGCCACAGUCAUAAUCACCUUUAAUCUCUUGCUCAAAAUAACCCAAAGUCAAAGCUGACCCUCGGUCUAUCUUGAGGCCCUCGGCUGCCCCCAACUUGAAGAUUCUCCCCCGUUGCGUCUAAGUGGCUGCUCCAAGCUCCCGUCCCCGCUGGCAUCUCCCUGCCUCACCAUCCGCCACAUUCCUCCACCAAAAGUUGACGCCUCAUUCUGGACUCCUCUCUUUCCUCCCCAAUCACUCCACUCCCACCACGACUGCCCAAACCCACCUCCGGCGGGGAUGACGCCCAAGGUUCCACCUGGUCUCCUGGCACCCACAAUCCAUUCUCCCUCCAUGGCCAGAGGGAGCCUCGCUAACCACCAAGGCGGUCCUGCGGCCCCGCGCAGCUCUGAGGGCGUCCAGUCCUCCACGCGUGGAGGAGAAUCCGGCCUCCAAACACAAUCUCCAGGGCCCACCGGAUCGGCCUCCGCUCCUUCUCACUCCCAGUCCCCCGGUGCACGCCCCCUUCCUGGCUGAAGAACCUGCACCACUGGACAGACUCGGGCCACGCUGCGCACGGGCUGGGACGCG
rnacentral:lncRNA from 1 species